AGUACCCCGAGGAAAAGAAAUCAACCGAGAUUCCCCCAGUAGCGGCGAGCGAACGGGGAGCAGCCCAGAGCCUGAAUCAGUAUGUGUGUUAGUGGAAGCGUCUGGAAAGGCGCGCGAUACAGGGUGACAGCCCCGUACACAAAAAUGCACAUGCUGUGAGCUCGAUGAGUAGGGCGGGACACGUGGUAUCCUGUCUGAAUAUGGGGGGACCAUCCUCCAAGGCUAAAUACUCCUGACUGACCGAUAGUGAACCAGUACCGUGAGGGAAAGGCGAAAAGAACCCCGGCGAGGGGAGUGAAAAAGAACCUGAAACCGUGUACGUACAAGCAGUGGGAGCACGCUUAGGCGUGUGACUGCGUACCUUUUGUAUAAUGGGUCAGCGACUUAUAUUCUGUAGCAAGGUUAACCGAAUAGGGGAGCCGAAGGGAAACCGAGUCUUAACUGGGCGUUAAGUUGCAGGGUAUAGACCCGAAACCCGGUGAUCUAGCCAUGGGCAGGUUGAAGGUUGGGUAACACUAACUGGAGGACCGAACCGACUAAUGUUGAAAAAUUAGCGGAUGACUUGUGGCUGGGGGUGAAAGGCCAAUCAAACCGGGAGAUAGCUGGUUCUCCCCGAAAGCUAUUUAGGUAGCGCCUCGUGAAUUCAUCUCCGGGGGUAGAGCACUGUUUCGGCAAGGGGGUCAUCCCGACUUACCAACCCGAUGCAAACUGCGAAUACCGGAGAAUGUUAUCACGGGAGACACACGGCGGGUGCUAACGUCCGUCGUGAAGAGGGAAACAACCCAGACCGCCAGCUAAGGUCCCAAAGUCAUGGUUAAGUGGGAAACGAUGUGGGAAGGCCCAGACAGCCAGGAUGUUGGCUUAGAAGCAGCCAUCAUUUAAAGAAAGCGUAAUAGCUCACUGGUCGAGUCGGCCUGCGCGGAAGAUGUAACGGGGCUAAACCAUGCACCGAAGCUGCGGCAGCGACGCUGAUGCGUUGUUGGGUAGGGGAGCGUUCUGUAAGCCUGCGAAGGUGUGCUGUGAGGCAUGCUGGAGGUAUCAGAAGUGCGAAUGCUGACAUAAGUAACGAUAAAGCGGGUGAAAAGCCCGCUCGCCGGAAGACCAAGGGUUCCUGUCCAACGUUAAUCGGGGCAGGGUGAGUCGACCCCUAAGGCGAGGCCGAAAGGCGUAGUCGAUGGGAAACAGGUUAAUAUUCCUGUACUUGGUGUUACUGCGAAGGGGGGACGGAGAAGGCUAUGUUGGCCGGGCGACGGUUGUCCCGGUUUAAGCGUGUAGGCUGGUUUUCCAGGCAAAUCCGGAAAAUCAAGGCUGAGGCGUGAUGACGAGGCACUGCGGUGCUGAAGCAACAAAUGCCCUGCUUCCAGGAAAAGCCUCUAAGCAUCAGGUAACAUCAAAUCGUACCCCAAACCGACACAGGUGGUCAGGUAGAGAAUACCAAGGCGCUUGAGAGAACUCGGGUGAAGGAACUAGGCAAAAUGGUGCCGUAACUUCGGGAGAAGGCACGCUGAUAUGUAGGUGAAGUCCCUCGCGGAUGGAGCUGAAAUCAGUCGAAGAUACCAGCUGGCUGCAACUGUUUAUUAAAAACACAGCACUGUGCAAACACGAAAGUGGACGUAUACGGUGUGACGCCUGCCCGGUGCCGGAAGGUUAA
rnacentral:rRNA from 1 species